AGUAGAACGCUGAAGGAGGAGCUUGCUUCUCUGGAUGAGUUGCGAACGGGUGAGUAACGCGUAGGUAACCUGCCUGGUAGCGGGGGAUAACUAUUGGAAACGAUAGCUAAUACCGCAUAAUAGCAGUUGUUGCGUGACAGCUGUUUGAAAGGUGCAAUUGCACCACUACCAGAUGGACCUGCGUUGUAUUAGCUAGUUGGUGGGGUAACGGCUCACCAAGGCGACGAUACAUAGCCGACCUGAGAGGGUGAUCGGCCACACUGGGACUGAGACACGGCCCAGACUCCUACGGGAGGCAGCAGUAGGGAAUCUUCGGCAAUGGACGGAAGUCUGACCGAGCAACGCCGCGUGAGUGAAGAAGGUUUUCGGAUCGUAAAGCUCUGUUGUAAGAGAAGAACGAGUGUGAGAGUGGAAAGUUCACACUGUGACGGUAUCUUACCAGAAAGGGACGGCUAACUACGUGCCAGCAGCCGCGGUAAUACGUANGUCCCGAGCGUUGUCCGGAUUUAUUGGGCGUAAAGCGAGCGCAGGCGGUUAGAUAAGUCUGAAGUUAAAGGCUGUGGCUUAACCAUAGUACGCUUUGGAAACUGUUUAAC
rnacentral:rRNA from 1 species